AUCGCGGCGGGUGCUACACACGCAAGUCGAACGAGAAAGUGGAGCAUCCAUGAGUAAAGUGGCGACCGGGUGAGUAACACGUGGACUAACCUACCUUCGAGUGGGGGAUUACUCGGGAAACCGGGGCUAAUACCGCAUAAUAUCUUCGGGAUGAGAAGCCGAAGAUCAAAGGAGCAAUUCGCUGGAAGAGGGAGUCGCGGUGAUUAGCUAGUUGGCGGGGUAAUGGCCACCAAGGCUUUGAUCGGUAGCCGGCCUGAGAGGGCGCACGGCACACUGGAACUGAAACACGGUCCAGACUCCUACGGGAGGCAGCAGUGGGGAAUUUUGCGCAAUGGGGGAAACCCUGACGCAGCAACGCCGCGUGGAGGAUGAAGUCCCUUCCGACGUAAACUCCUUUCGACCCGGACGAUAAUGACGGUACGGGUGGAAGAAGCCCCGGCUAACUUCGUGCCAGCAGCCGCGGUAAUACGAGGGGGGCAAGCGUUGUUCGGAAUUAUUGGGCGUAAAGGGCGCGUAGGCGGUGCGGUAAGUCACCUGUGAAAUCUCCGGGCUUAACUCGGAGCCUGCAGGCGAAACUGCCGUGCUUGAGUGUGGGAAGGUGCGUGGAAUUCCCGGU
rnacentral:rRNA from 1 species